CAGAGAGGAUGGAGAAAGAGAGAGAGUCUGCAGCCACAGUGAAAGGGAGAAGAGGUACAAGGGAAGAGAAGCGAAUCUGAGAGAGAAGCCGACGCAGAGCUGAAGGCAGGUUUCGGACAAUGCUGCAAGGCCACUGGGAUUGGGGAGAAACCUAUGAAAAAAAAAAGCCUUCUGUACAGAAGAAGCAAAGAUCUGCAGUUUCCUUGGUGACAUCAUGGGACAGAGAAGGCCCACCACUUAAUGAGCUCAUAACUGGAAAUUCCUGAGAAAAUCAAAGGUCGAAAGAAAAAGCCUGCAUCCUGGAUACAAAGAUCCAACAAGGAAGUAACAGGAACAUUUCUGAUCAAGGCAAAGUUGGAUGUAUAAUCCAACACUGAUUUCAAGCUCAAAGAUAGUGUAAACUGCGGCAGAUAAUAGAUUAUUGCUGUUUUGAGCUGGAGUGAAUACAACUAGCUCUGGGAUGUUUUCUGACUAUUCUUUGGAUUGGAUUUACUUUUCAUUAUAUUUUGAAUUUUGUUGGAAUUUUACUGUGCUGACAACUGACUGGACCACUCAACAACAGCAAUGAAUGGUUGAUUCAAGGCCCCAAGCUGCGCUGCACUGGAGGUGGAGCCAAAAGGCUUCUGGGAUGAUCCCCCCCAAUGCUAAUAGGAAAUCAAGUUUCCAUUGAUUGAUUUUUAAUGUGACUUCCUUGUGCAUAAUGUGGAUUUGAGGAAAGCCAUAUUCCUCCAAACUGUCGGGGAGAACCUUGAUGCUCAUGAACUCACUUUGCACUGAACUCUGGUGUGGGAACACUCAGAGAAAAAGGCCAACAAUCUACAGGUUCUCUCUUCUGUGAACAAGCAGUUCAAAGAAACAAUGACAAUAAUUGCCUAUAAUAAUAUAAUUAAACUGUAAAAUAAAUUCAACAUUUGUUGUGCGGUACACAAUGGAAGUGUGUUUGGCAUAAAAGAUCCUUGGCUGUGUCCCAGUUCCACACUUGCGUUGUGUAUGUUUAACAGUGUACUGUUUUGACACAAGAAAUUAAUGACAGGAAAUAAUUCAAUAUGGUCGCCAACAGACUUCAAUUAAACUGUGAUUUUGGAACUCCACUGCCAUUUUCAAAGCAGGAGAAAAACAACUAAAACGCAAAAAUGUUUUCCGAAUUUUUAAUAACUCUAUUGAUUUAUUCUCUGUCACCACUCACUGCACUCAAAACAAAUUGAGAAUGUAUAAUUCAUGAAUAUAUGUUCUUUUAGUGUAUUUUAUUAAUUGUCCAAUUUAAACAUACUUAUUAAAAAAUCAAUAUAAAUGCAAA